AGUGGGAACUGUUCCAUCUAUCAGUAAAAGCCUUUGUGCAAAUCCAGCAUUAAACUCGUGUAGAUUCUGGAAGCUGUCUUCCACGCCGCAUCCAGUGUAGAAAAUAUCACAGAUAUGGGUUCUAUUAUCAUUUGACGCGUCGCCACUUGCGUCCGGUGUACACAACUUUUCCUCUUCCAUUAUGCUGCACGACAUGGCCUCGCCCACUUUGUUGCGUGUUACCGGGGGUGUGUUUUGCAGGGUUUAUGAUGUCACCAACCCGGGAAGAAACUUGUUGUAGUCCAAACCAGUUGUUUUUGUAGGCAUUAAACUGCCAUAACUUUAAAAGACAAUAUCUCUGUUUGCAUUGAACUUUCAGCGCUGUAACUUUGCAGAUACUGUUUAUGCCCAAGCAGCAACACUACCGAGCUAACAAUGACCUGGAGGUCCGCCAGCGGUUUUUUGGGCGGCACAAAGUCAGCGGCUAGACACGGUCGGACCACCGUCGGCACACCAUCGGCAAGCCGACCAAUCUGUAAAUGCCGUCGGUCUGCCAGCGUUUUUUGGGUGGCACGCCACCAGCGGUUUGCCGCUGCUGGGCCACCGUUGGUACACCAGUGGCAAACUGAUAGUCUGUCCAGUUACUACUGAGCGCUUACAGGACAUCUUUUUUGAUAAGUGUGUAUUUAUUUUAUAUUAUCUUUGCAGUUAAAAAGAAUCUGAAAGCACUGAAUAAAAAAUAUUGAGACUGAUUUAAUAUCUAUAUCAAAAGCUUAGUAUAAUUGCCUAUGAGCACGCUAUCAAAUAAAAUAACGUGGUUGAAUGUUUGUAAAAACAACAAUGAAUAAUUAAGUUAUAAAAGUUUAAGUUAUAAAAUUAUGAAGUUAUAAAAGUGCCACAAUUGUUCCACUAUCACGUGCUGGGGUGGCAUUUUGCGCCUAUGAAGGGUCACAAAAUUACAAAAUGAGUUUUAAGUUCAUGUUUUAAUAUUAAUGAGAUUUUUUAUGUAAUGUUUUAAUUCUAGAUGUUUAUUUAUAUAAAUGCUGCAUGACUGACGUGUUUUCAUGCGUGCGCGCACCGAACAUUUCAAACACUGGAGCGGCGCAGAGUUGCCAUGGAAACGGAGAAACUGACAAGCUGCAAAAACAGCAGUUUCUCGCUGUUGUUUUCACUUCUUUCAGGGGAAGGUCCAAAUAUUUCAGCAUUUCUGAAGGAAGCUGCUGACAGAAGACGGAAACAGAUACUUCCCUGCUGACGCUCUGCACCGUGGCAGAGUUGGAGCGGAUAAAAAAGUUCCUGUCGGACCACAUGACUAGAUGCCCAGCAAGGUUACUAGAGGUUACGGCAGCUCCAGUUUGGAUCCAGCCUCACUUGUGAAGACUGCAGAUGAUGGAACUAUAGAUGAACAUAAAAAAACUGACAGAUAUUAUCCUUAUAUUGUAAUCAUUGGUCCGGAUUCACAGACAGGGCUUAGAUUAAGUCAGGAUAAGGUCUUAGUUAAAUUAGGACAUUAACAUAGCUUUUUAAAACAUGCUUUAGAAAAAAAUAAAAAACAUUACUGUUGUGCAUCUUGACACAAAACAAUGACACUGACAUAUUUUAAGAUAUGCUUUCAGUUAAAGGGUUAGUUCACUCCAAAAUGACAUUUCUGUCAUUAA